rnacentral:rRNA from 1 species
GAAAAGAAACUAACAAGGAUUCCCUCAGUAACGGCGAGUGAAGAGGGAAGAGCUCAGUUUUGGAAUCUGACAGUGAUUCACUGUCCGAGUUGUAAAUUGAAGAGAAUGUCAUCCACACUGGACCGUGUCUAAAUUGUAAUGAUCCACAGUCCUUUGAUGGAGUAUCAGAGAGGGUAAUAAUCCCGUCUUUAACAUGGACUACCAGUGUUUCUGUGAUGCACUCUCUCAGAGUCGAGUAGUUUGGGAAUGCUGCUCUAAUGGGAGGUAAACUCCUUCUAAAGCUAAAUAUUGGCGAGAGACCGAUAGCGAACAAGUACCGUGAGGGAAAGAUGAAAAGAACUCUGGAAAGAGAGUCAAAUAGAACGUGAAAUUGCUGAAAGGGAAGCAUUUGGAGUCAGAUGCAUCUUCAUGCCAUACCACUCAGUGGCAGAGUCUGAGAGUGGUUACUUGGAGAUGGGCCAGCACUCACGAAGACCAUUGAAGAAAGGGUCAUGGAAUGUAGCUCAGUCUUGAGUGAUUAUAGCCUUGAUUCAGAAGCAAUGUGUCUUUGUGAGAUAGACAGCACGAACUUCAGUGCUUGAUUGACUGGCAUAAUGGCUCUAAGUGACCCGUCUUGAAACACGGACCAAGGAGUCUAACAUGUAUGCGAGUAUUAGAGUGAUUGAAACUCUAAAUGCGCAAUGAAAGUGUUCUGACUGAGAAUCCCUCAUUUGGGGAGGCAUCAGUACCCCGAGUCUUAUUAGUCUUUGACUAAAGAGUUGGAGGCAGAGCAUAUAUGUUGGGACCCGAAAGAUGGUGAACUAUGCCUGAAUAGGGUGAAGUCAGAGGAAACUCUGAUGGAGGCCCGUAGCGAUUCUGACGUGCAAAUCGAUCGUAGAAUUUGGGUAUAGGGGCGAAAGACUAAUCGAAC